rnacentral:lncRNA from 1 species
UUACAAUGUGACAUCGCCAGAUUUGGUUAUAACGUUUAGACCGAGUUUGGGGUGUUACAAUACACAUCUCAUACUUCAAAUAACACAAAACAUAUUCAUAAUGCUUAUAACACAUAUAGACAACAUCCUAAUUACAUGUCACUUAUAAUCGAACCAAAAUAAACAAUUAGUUACUGUAUAAGUUACUGAAUAGUGUGAUCUCCAAAAGCAAUCCAAUUGAAAUCUCGUAUCCGACAAUCUACAAGGAAAGAAUAACCAAAAUGAGGUAAGCUUGCUUAAAUCUUAGUAAAUUUGUAAUAAACUUAAAUUUUAACUUACCAAAAAGGAUGUAAUUAAACAUUUUACAAGAUGUUUACAUGUUACAUGUAAACAGGAUGUAACCGUAUAUGCUCACACGAGUUGUGGGUCAGGAUGCUAGGCUACUCGAUGCUGCCCACACAAGCUGUAGAGAAUCCGCAACAAAUGCAGGACCUCAUCCGUCAAUAGGAUACCCAAGACCAACAUCUGAAACUAAAUAUAACCCCUUAAUGACAUGUCAUUUGUAUACUAAGUAUUCACAAGGUUCAAACGUGACACAUUUCAUAUAAGAAUCCUUUAACUUCGUUUCCAUUAUACCAUUUCAAACCCACUUCCAUGUAUUUCACAUUUUCCAAUCAUAGAACUCAACUUAAAUAUCAUCACAACUUAGUCCAACUCAUCACAUACUAAUCUCAAGUAGUUAAAAUCAAGAUAUGUAUUAAAUCACAAAAACAACAAAUAGUUAAUUUAAUCAAUUUACGAACUUACCUCGAUUAAAACUGUUGCAAAAACAAAGCCGACAACUAGUCCGAAACUUUAACUUUUCCUCGAUUUAAAUCUGAUUGGUUAGUUUCUUGAUCUAGAUAGUAAUUUCAUUCAAUUAAUAAAAUUCCAACACUCAAAUAAAUAGUUUUAUACAAUUAAGUCCUUCCAACAUUAUUUUACAAAUUUAACCUAAUAUUUUUACCUUUUAUGAAAUUUAGUCCCUAAACCUGAAACUCAAAAAUUAACCACAAAUUAAUGAAAAACCAUGCUAGCUGGUUUUUUAGAGGUCCAUUACAGUCUAUAUUUCUCAUCAUUUCACACUAUUUUCUAUUAAUUUUACUAUUUAAAAAAUUUAAUCCUUAAAUAUAAAAUUACUAAAAAUCACUUAACAAAGUAAGCUUAACUAUCAACCUAGCUUAAUAUUCUAUCAAUUAAAUUCACAAGCACACUUAAAACAUUCAUGGUAAGUCCCUAAACUUUUAACAGUUUUACGAUUUGACCCUCAGGUUAGCUAGAUUAAGCUACAACGAUCUCAAAUACAUAAAAUUACAAAAAACGAAAUUCAAACGGAUUUACAUGCAUAAAUUGAAGCUUGGCCUAACCUUAAGUCAACAAUGGCUUUCUUUCAUGUUUUUGUUUGGGUUGGGAAGAAAAGAAGAAAAAGAUGACUAAUCAAAUGUCAUGUUUUUCUUUUUUUAUUAACUUAUUAAUUUAACAUUUUAAUAUAAAAUUAAUAUAUGAUCAAUUCAUUUUUACACCAAACUGUCCACUAUGAUAUAAUUAUGGCUAAGUUGCCAUUUAAAACCAUCCAACAAUUAAUUUGAACCCAUUUAGCCCUUAUAAACCAAUAGUGAUUAACGUUUGCAUCUUUUACGACUUAGUCAUUUUUCUUUAAUUAACAAUCAAAUCACUAAAAUUUUAGAAUCGAACUUCAAUAUACCUAUAGAGUAACUCCGUAAAUAUUUUAUAAAAAUAUUUAUAGGCUCAGUUUAUAGAAAUAAGAUCCCGAAAUCUUAUUUUCCAAAACCACUUGACUUUAAGGGACAACUACUUGAACUUAACAAUUCAUUCAAAUAACAUAAAUAAUCAAAUUAAUAUUUAUUAUUAUACUAUAUUUGACUCAUAAAUUUUAAAUAAUAAUAUUUACGGAUUCACUCGUCGAAUUUAUGGCCCUCGAAACUGUUAUUUCUGACAUAACUGAAAAAUGAGUUGUUACACCCUAAGCCUAACACCUAAAUUGAAACAUGUCCCCCUCAUAGCGAGAUGUUAAUGUGAACUGACGAGCUUAGAAGCGAUAGUGACGAGCUCGUCGAAUGUGAGGUAAAAGCUCGCAAAAUGGCUAGACAACUACAAAAUUGUUCGCAAUGAGGUGCUCAAAUUUUAAGCCAAACUAAAAUAUCGCGAAAUAGACGAGCUCAACAAGGUUCUUACCAAUCCCACGUGGUCAAAAUUCUUAGCAACCAACGUACUCGAUUAAAACCAAUCAUUUUGGUUAAAAAAACUCUAAACUACAAAUUAGAAAUUUGGGUGUAACAUGAACCUCAUGAGAAGAAUUAUCCCACAUAUGAAUUGGAGCUUGCAGCUAUAGUAUUUGCUUUAAAGAUUUGGAGGCAUUACCUUUAUGGGGAGAGAAGUCAUCUUUUCAUUAAUCAUAAGAGUCUGAAGUAUCUAUUCACACAGAAAGAGCUGAAUUUAACACAAUGUAGGUGGCUCGAGUUACUUAAGGAUUAUGAUUUGAUCAUUGAUAAUCAUCUGAGAAAAGCCAAUGUUGUGGCUAAUGCUUUGAGUAAAAAAUCAUCAUUCACUUUGAAAGAGAUGAAUGGUGCAAUUGGCUUUGGAUCGAGAUGGAUCUAUUUUAGUAGAGUUGAGGGCUAAACCCAUGUUUCUGCAAAGAAUUCAAAAAUUACAUAAUUGUGAUAUCAAUCUUGAAGCAAAGCAGAGACUAGUUGAAAGUGGGCAAAUUAGUGAAUUCAACGUAAGCGAUAACAGGAGUUUAUAAUUCUGUAAUAGAUUGUGUGUGUCAAAUGAUGCAAGUUUGAAAUGAAAUAUUCUCUACGAAGCUAAAAAUAGUACCUAUACGAUGUAUACAGGUAGCAAUAAAAUGUAUAAUGACUUGAAACCAUUCUAUUGGUGGCCUAACAUGAAAAGGGAGAUAACCGAAUGUGUAACCAAGUGUUUGGUGUGUCAGCAAGUAAAGGGAGAACAUCUAGUCCCCUUAGGACUGUUGCAACCUAUAAGGAUUCUGUGUGGAAGUAGGAGCGAGUCAUUUUAGAUUUUGUAAUGAGAUUACCUCUAUCGCUUAAAAAGAAAGACUCAUGAAAUCCACUCAUUUUAUUUCAGUAAGAGUUGAUUAAUCGCUAGAAAAAUUGGUUGAAUUGUAUAUCUAUGAAAUUGUGAGGUUGCAUAGAGUGCCAUUAUCUAUCAUUUCAGAUCAGGAUCCAAGAUUUACCUCCAGAUUUCGAAGCAAACUGCAUGAAGCACUGAGCACAAGGUUGAACUUUAAUACAAUGUUUCACCCUUAAACAGAUGGUUAAUCAAAAUGAGUAAUUCAAAUACUUGAAGACAUAUUGUGUUGUUGUGUGAUAGAACUCAAAAGAAGUUGGGGAAAAUUCCUACCUCUAAUUGAAUUUUCAUAUAAUAACUACCAAUCGAGUAUUAAAAUGACACCUUAUGAAGCUUUGUAUGACCGUAGGUGUUGAACUCCUUUGUGUUGGAUGAAGUUGAGUGAAAAAAAGCUUACAUGAAUUGAAUUAAUUUGAGAAAUUGAAGAUAAAGUCAAAAUCAUUCAAGAUUACUUAAAAGUUGCUUCUGAUAGACAAAAGUCUUAUGAGGAUUUUUAAAAAAAUUGAAUUUGAAGUGUGGGAUAACGUCUUUUUGAAAGUCUCAUCUUGGAAGAAAAUCCUACGAUUCGAUAGAAAAGGGAAGCUUAGUAUAAGAUUUAUUGGGCUUUAUGAAAUUAUUGAAAGGAUUGGAUCUAUGGCUUAUCAUUUAGCUCUACCACCAAAAUUAGAUAAAAUUCAUAAUAACUUUCAUAUGUCGAUUCUAAGAAGAUAUAGUUUUGAUCCCUACCACAUCUUAGCCCCCGAUGAAAUUGAAUUACAACCUAAUUUGACUUAUGAUGAGAAACCCGUUAAAAUCUUAACUUGAGAAGUGAAGUAAUUGAUAAACAAAUGCAUGGAAUUGGUGAAAGUAUUAUGGCACUAUCACAGUGCAGAAGAGGCUACUUGGAAGCCAAAAGAGACUAUAAGAUCUCAGUAUCCCCAUAUUUUCUCAGGUAAAUUUUGAGGAUGAAAUUUCUUGAGGGGAGAAUUAUAAUGGCUAGAUUUUUUGUGGUACUAAAAAUGUGGUUUCAAAAACCCAUUUCCAUAAACAGAGUUUGUAAACAUAACAUACAAAUAUUUACAAAGUUAUUAUGAAAAUAUAUUGAAGAAUGGUCGAGUAAGUUAGCUGAUAAUAUAGUUAAUUAAAGCUAAGGGACUAAAUUGUAAAAGUUUGAUCGUUAUAGAAUUUUAAUUGACAAAAGGCUUGAGGUGUAACACCCCACGCCUGACUCGAUCAUUGGAUUCGGGUAUGGAGCGUUAGAAUUUAAAACCAACUGGACUGACGAAACCGUUUGAAAAUCAAACACCUUAGUUUAGCGGAUAUUCUGCGUACUAGAAUAAUGUCCUAAAAUACAUUAAUAACAUAUAAUAAUUUAAAAACAAUUUAAAAUAGUAACACGCUGCUUAUAAAUAGGCUAUGAGUAAACAUCAUUUGCCAGAAGGCUUAAAACAUUCACAUGUUUGUAUAAAAAAUAAACGAGUUGACACUCAUGCAAAAGUUUGAAAUUCGCUACUAAUUGGUUAACAUUAUAUAAAACAUUUUGGCACAUAGCCUGGCAGGCUGCUCAUAUGAAACCCAUAUGUACAACAUCAUGUUUUAGAUACAAGCUUUCAAGAUUUAACUGACGGAAAUUAACAUUCAUCCUAUUCCCCAGCGAUUUCAUGUUACAAACAAAAUAAGAAAUGACUCACAAAAUAGGGCGCAAAUCUAGAUGAAUCCCUUCAACAACACGUCCAACCUAAAAGCUUGAAAAUAAUAAGAAGAAAAUUAAGCAAGUUCAUAAGAACUUAGUGAGUUCCAUGGUAACUUAACCUUAUAGUAGAGUUUAACUGAGUGUACUAUACUUUAGCGAUGACUCGCGUAUGGCGUGGCUUCAAAGACAAUUAUGUUUUCUACAACAUUCUCAUAGACUUGGUAGGCUAGUUGUGCCACACCAAGACUCUGAGGCGUACUCUUUCUUAGGCGUAUCCAUUUUUGUGCAUAUUCUUUCUUCACUUUAAGAUAACCUGAUAUCAAAUCCUUAUACACCGCAAACGGACGGAUACUUUAACGCUAGUAUGCGCUAAUGCUCUAACUCGCCAGUAAGUUAGCAAGGUGGCAGAUUAUACUACCAUAGUGCACCAAAUAGUUUACAUACAUACCUUAUUCACCUUUUUGGAUCCACUACUUUUGGGGUGUGACAAAACACAUCAUAAACUUGCUAACAAUCGAUACCUGAUCUCAAUUCUCGAGUAUCAAGUAUAUAGGCCAAAAAUGCCUUACAACCUUUAUGAAUCAGGUUUUGAGUGAAAUUGUUAAAAUAAUUCUAGUAGCACAAUUUGAUUUGUCAGAUUUAACUGUAAUUAUUUCACCACUCUAACAUUGAACAUCAAUUUGUUUUAGUCUACAGUUUACCACAACAUCUUGUAAUGUCAACCAAUCCAUUCCUAGAAUGACAUCAAAUUUGUAAAAUGCUAACAUUAGAUUAGUAAGAAAGUCACCGCCCUGAAUUCUAAGUAGACAUUUUCGACAUAAUAAAUUAACUAUCACACUCUAACCUAGUGGGUUCAUAACUUGAACAUUAAGCUUAGUUGACUUAACAGGUAAAUUCUUAUCCAUUACUAAUGCAAUGCAAAUAUAUGAAUGAAUUGACCUAGGGUCUAUCAGUGCAUACACAGUAACAUCAAAGAAAGAGAAUGUACUAGUAAUAACAUCGAGUGUAGUAGCUUCCUCCCUAGCUCGUAUGGCAUAUGCUAGAGCAGGUGCUCUAGCUUUAGAUCUGACAGUUGUGCCUUUAGUCCUACUGUGAUUAGCUCUAGUAUUAUUGCUCUGACCAGGAUGUCUACCUUUUUGAGGCGUACACAACUGUUUUACAUUCCGAUCAUCAAUGUCUCCCGAUUUUCUAUGGCAAUUUUUCAUGAAGUGUUCCACUGAUCCGCAUCUAAAACAUGCACCUAAGUUGGUCCUGCAUUCACCGGCAUGUAAUUUUCCAUAAUGUUCACAUACAGGCCUAGGAGCAUUAUGGACAUUGCCGACACUAUUCGCAAGUAUAGACUGAAAUCUCGAAUCAUUUUGCCUUGAUUUAUUUCUACCAGAGAACCUAGAUGGUGAACUAAAAUAGCUGAAAACUUCAUUUGAUUUCUUUAACGAAGGACCUGAAAACAGUUUGGAUGAACUUUGUUUACUGAAAUCUCAAGCUUCUUUUGUUUUGUUUCUUAUUGUUACAUAUCUCCUCCAUCUUUUGUGCCUGAUUAGAUAACAAGACAAAUUCUCGCAGUUCCAUCAUGCGAACCAACAUUUCUUCCUCACUAAACACAAUUUCACGAGCAUAUUUACUAAGUUGCAUAAAAUCUCGCUCGUAUUCUGCUACAAAUUUAUUUCCUUGUUUCGAUUCAACAAAUUCUUUUUUUUCCUAUCUAGGUAUCGUUUGCUAACAUAUUUCUUUCUAAACUCAAAUUUGAAGAAAUCCCAAUUAACCCCGUCUCUCCGUAUCUCACUUGUUAAUGUCGACCACUAGUUAUAGGCUUCGUCUUUAAGCAAAGAUACAAUACAUCGAAUACUCUUUGGAUGUUUUCAAGCUAGUAUUCAGCCUUAGCUGGGCCAUAAUCUAUUUUACCUCUAAAUUCCUUGGUAUCAGACUUUUGGAUUUUUUUCAAUCAGCGAUUGUCGUACCUUUCAGUUGUUUGAGGACACGGGGGUGCCACGAGAGGCACAAUAAGGUGUAGAGGUUGUUGAGCCACAGGAUUAGCUCGCAUAAAUUCUAUAAACCACUAACCCGUCAUGCCGAAAAAUGCAUUUCUAAUUUCACUUUUAGACAUUUGUAAAAUUGGUAGACUAUGACUUUCUUCCUGUUCGGAAGUCGGGCCAUUACUAUCUACCUCACUAGUGGCAACACGACUAGAUUUUGUCGACAUUCAUUGAAUUUAUAAGAAAAAUAACGUUACAUUGGAUAAAAAAACAUCUCAGUAUCGCAGAUUUAUAUGAAAUGUAAUUUCUAGACUUUAGACAUGCUACGUUUAGUCUGAAAAUCGGCUAAACCAUAGCUCUGAUACCACUAAAUGUAACACCCUAUACCAGAUCUGAUUGUCGGCCCCGAGCUAUAAGGUACUACCGUAGCUAACAACAUUUAACAUGCACAAAUUCGACUUAAAGAGCAAUCAAACAUAUUCACAAUCUAAAUUGAGCCUCAAUUGAGCUUACGAAGCUAUUAAACCGACUCAAAAACAAAUCAGGACUAAUUUGAAACUUUUACAAAAAAUUAGGUAAAAAGGCUAAAAAGUGGUCACAUGACCAUGUGACAGGUUGAGAUCAUGUGGUACAAUAUCACAAAGUCGUGUCUCCAAGUCGUGCAAUACACUAAUAUCGUGUAUAAAAGGAUCACACGGCCGUGUCGCCAGGGCAUGUAACAGAAUGUAACUGUGUAUCUAAAGUCACCAAAAUAAAAAAGAGCACGCAGCCGUGUCACUUACCCAUGUGUGACACAGUCAUUUGACAGCCCGUGUGUGCUGAAUUAUACCUUAAAAUGCAAGUUAAACAUGUAUUUUCUUACUUAGGCCACAAACAUACCAUUAACCAUGCAUUCAACCAAUUCAAAAUACACCAAAAAUAUACCAAAACAUGCAAUUAGUCUAGUUCUAACCAAUAUGUCAUAGGGCACCAUCACAAACAACAUUCAAACCUAAAAUUCAACCUCAAUUUCUAUCAUGAUCAAGCUUAAUUAAACCAUGUCAUGUAAAGAAUCAAAGUGCUAUAAUUCCUUUCAUCAACUUACUAUCAUAAACUAAUGCAUUUUCCUUAGUACACUUACCAUCAAAAGAACCAAUGCACUUAUCAAUUUUCAUGACAUCCAAAUCAAGUAUCCAACCAUAUUACUAUACCAUCCAACCAAGCUAUCACCAAUCAUUCUUUCCAUCACAAAUUCCCACUUAUCAACAUUUCAUCUCAUUGUAACAUAUACCUUACACAAUACACAUUCAAGGAUUUCCAUAGUAAAUUAUGAACAACAUAACUAUUUGGAUUUCAAACAUAUAUAAUUUGCACAACCAUAGUAAGUUCAUAGGUCGGAAACGAUAACAUACCUUAUGAUCACAUUUAUAAAGUAACAAAUCAAUUAAUAAACACAUAAUCUUGUCAUCACAACCAUAUCAACGAGUGAGGUCUUAUAUGCACAAGUCAUAUAACCAUUUAAACUAUACAAGAACAUUAAAUACCAAGUCAUGAUAUAAAAUUAGAAGAACAUGAACAUAUUUACAAGUCAUUCACCUAAGCAUUAUCACCAAGUAUCACAUACACAUCAUAAUGUCAUUUAACCAUCAAGAUUCAGCCCGAUGAACUACAUGAACAGAUACGAAUAAUCCACCCAAAAACAUGCCAGAAUACUCAGCUGAGCCAAUCUAACAAAGAAUAUGCCUAGGCACCAAGUGCCUAGCCUGUAGGCUUUACAUUCGCCCCCCAAAAACACGAUAGGAUCACUGUAAAGAUAACUCGGUAAUCCAUAACAAAUGCAGGAUUCCGGUAUACUCAGUGUAUAAUAACAUGUCAUAUAUCAUCAUCUCAUCACAAGUCAAUCCCAUAUAGUGCGCAAAAUAAACUAUUGACAUGCUAACUGUAUCCUAUUCUAUGUUCCUCUAGGCUCGAUACAUGUAACCAUAUAACGCUUUCCAUAUCAAUCCAUUUUCUCACCAAAUCAAUCGUAACAUUUAAAUUUACAUUAAAUUUUAAUAAUAACAUUAUCAAAAUACACAAAACAAUACCGUAUGAACUUACCAGGGCCAAACAACAAAGAUAGCAAUAUCAGAAACUGAUAAACAUUUUCUCUUUUCCAUGAUUAUCUACUGGUUCUUUAUCUAUACAGUAAUUUUAUUUCAAUUUAUCCGUUCCAAUUACACUAUAACAUUUAAUUUAAUGCACAUGACCUCAUAUUAACAUUUUUUACUAUUUCCUUAAAGUUUUGCACUUUGUUCAAUUUAGCCCCUAAAACUAAAAGAAGCUUAUUUUUCACAAUUAAGCCCUAGACUAACAUGCCGGAUUUGUUAACAUCCCUAUACAAUCCUCAAUUACGAAAACUUACAAAAAAAUUUAAGAUAAUUUCAACAUUUUAUCAUUUUAUUCCCUAAACUCAAAACUAAUAAAAAAUCACUUUACAAAAUAGUUCUAUUCAUCAUCAAACUUUAAACCAAAGCAUUAACAUCUAAAAAGUUUAUCCGUUCCAAUUACACUAUAACAUUUAAUUUAAUGCACAUGACCUCAUAUUAACAUUUUUUACUAUUUCCUUAAAGUUUUGCACUUUGUUCAAUUUAGCCCCUAAAACUAAAAGAAGCUUAUUUUUCACAAUUAAGCCCUAGACUAACAUGCCGAAUUUGUUAACAUCCCUAUACAAUCCUCAAUUACGAAAACUUACAAAAAAAUUUAAGAUAAUUUCAACAUUUUAUCAUUUUAUUCCCUAAACUCAAAACUAAUAAAAAAUCACUUUACAAAAUAGUUCUAUUUCAUCAUCAAACUUUAAACCAAAGCAUUAACAUCUAAAAAGUUUCAAGAACAUCAAUGAGAAGUUUUCAAGACUUUAACAAUAUUUCAAAAUAGUUAUUAGAUUAGUUAGACUAACCUACAACGACAUUGAAAACAUAAAAUUUAUGAAAAGCUGAUAAUCAAAGGGCUUACAUGCAAAGACACAAGUUGGUCGAACCUUCAAGCUAUGUUAACCAUGGAGUUUCGAUGGGAGAGUGGCCAAAUGAAAGAGGUGAUACUUUAAUUUUUAUCUUUUUAAGUUUUAUUCAUUUUAUUAUAACUUUGUUAUAAUGAAAGUAAUUUUUAUCUUUUUAAGUUUUAUUCAUUUUAUUAUAAAAUUUAUUCUUGAAUAUAUAUUUUUGAAAAAUGGAAUUUUUUUAAUUUUCUAAAAUUUAAAUACUUUUUCAUUUUUAUAAAAUUUAAAUUUUUUAUAUAUUAUUAUGGUUUUUAAAAAUUUAUAUUUAUAUGUUGUAGAAUUUUAGAAUUUUUUUAAAAUAAUUUUUUUUUAUAUUUUUAUAUGUUAUAUGUUAUAUGAUUUUUUAUUUUUAAUCAAUAGAAUAUAAAUUAUAUUAAAAAGAUAAAAAAAAAUUGAUGUCACAUAUUCUAAUAGUCUCACGUAUCAAUCUUAUUUUCUUUUAUGCCUUAAAUUAAUUUGGAUAAUAAAAAUAAUUUAAAUACUAAGGUGAGAAAAAAAUUUAAGUACUAAAAUUGCAAAAACAAGUAUAAUUCGGGCCGAAUAGUUUUUUCUUUGGCUUUUGGCAUGUCUUUGUUUGCCGACUGGCACGCUUUUAGUUUUUUCUUUUAAGUUGUGUUUUUCUUUAUGCUUCUUUACUCUUUGUAUUUGUAAUUCUGUUUCGCAACCUAUCUUUGUUACGGGAAAGUGAUGGAAAGGGGUUUAGCGAAUCUGAGUUUGGAGGAUAGAGAAGAAGCUUUUUCUAUUCCUGAUGAUGUUGAAUCACAAAGCUCAACAUACAGUUUCUACUUGGUGGGAUGUUUUCUAAUUGCUAGUGUGGUCCAUUUUCCAACUAUGAUAAAUACGAUGGCGAAUAUUUGGCACCUUUUGGAGGGUGUGCAAAUCUCGGAUUUGGGUGAAAAACAUUUUCUAUUCAAAUUCUUUAAUGAAUUGGAUAUGAAUCGGGCAAUUACAGGCGCUCCUUGGACUUUCAAUAAUCAUCUGUUGAUCUUCCAUAGGAUUCAAGAGAACGAAGAUCCGAUGUUUAUUCCAUUGGUGUACUCAGAUUGGUGGGUUCAGAUUCAUAAUUUGCCACCAAGGUUUUCCAGAGAUUCAAUGGCGGUGCAAUUUGGAAAUUUCAUUGGCAAGUAUCUUGAAUAUGAUAUGAAGCAGUUAUCCAACGGCUACAGAAAUUAUCUAUACGUCCGAGUCUAGGUUAAUGUUCAAAAGCCUCUGAAAAGAAAGAAAAUUAUGAUCUCCGAUUCAAAUUUUACUUAUGCAAAGUUCAAAUAUGAAAAAGUAACUUUAUUUUGUUUCUUAUGUGGCUGCUUAGGCCAUGGUAACAAUUUUUGUCCGGUGAGAUUACAACAUGGGAUGCAGGAAAUGGAAAUAGGUUGGGAUUUGACGUUUAGGGCUCAGCCGCGGAAGGCUACUACAGUAAACAAUAUCUGGCUAAGGGGGGAGAGAGAAUUUUUUUUUUGGAAAGACACAAUUUAGGUAGCAACCUAGCCAAAAUUCAAGGCAAAAUCAAGGGAGAGAAUCAUGGGCUAAUAUUAAUCCAAUUCUUGGAAUUAAUUUGGAAUAUGCCAAAUUUACAAAUGUUUUGAGUGGUCAACAAAAGAGAUAGGAAUCACACUAGAAUGUUGGGAAAGAAUUGGUGGUAAGUAAAAGUCUACAGAUGGGGAUUAGUUCGAAUGGUGAUGAAUGGCCCUUCUAACAGACUAGAUUUGAUGAUCAUAGACCGUGACUUAGAAGAUAAUCUAAUUGUCAAUGAGGAAGGGAAAAAGAGACAGGUUUGAUUCUUUAAUCUCUAACGUCUCUAUUGUUUAGGAUUCGUUAGAGAUUAUUGAUGGACUGUGACUUAGAAGAUAAUCUAACGUCUCUAUUCUUUAAUAUCAGCGGCUACCAGUGGGUAUGUCGACUGAAAGAAAUGAAAAUAUUUUGUUGGAAUGUUCAUAGCUUGAGGAGUCCGCGAGCAGCAAGAAGACUUCAGUGUAUGCUGAAAAUUUAUUAUCCCCAAAUUGUCUUCUUUAUGGAGACAAAAUUGAAUGCAAAUAGAAUGGAGAAUGUUAGGAGACAGUGUGGUUUUUUUAAUGGUGUUGACGUUCUUGCUGAUGGUACACGUGAGGGUUUGAGUAUAGGAUGGAAUGGGGGACAUUUAGUUACUCUUAGAAGCCUCUUAAAAAAUCAUAUUAAUGUCGAAAUUCAAGAAGUAAAGGAAAGCCCACGAUGGAGAUUUACGUGUUUUUAUGAGGCACUGGAUGUUAGGGAUAAAUUAGUGACGUGAGAUUUACUUCGACGUUUGGGGAGAAAUAAUAUGCUAUCAUGGCUAGUUGGUGGUGACUGCAAUGAAAUUCUCUUUGCGUAUAAAAAACAGGGAGGGUUGUUAAGGGAGGAGGCUUGAAUGGAGGUAUUUCGUAGAACGUUGGAGGAAUGUCAAUUUGGAGACAUUGGAUUUUCUGGGGCGUGGUUUACAUGGGAGAUGGGACACGUAAUAGAAAAAAAUAUAAGAGAGAAUCUGCCUUAUUCUUUCUUGGAUCAUUGUCCAUUGCUUAUUGAGAUGGAGGCUGAAAGAAUGGGUAAAAGACCUGGAAGGUUCCGCUUUGAAGCUUUGUGGGUUUUAUAAGAGUUAUGUGAGGAAGAGAUAAGAAAAUUAUGGGAAGAAAGCUCGGGUUCUUUUCAAAAUCACAUUUCAACUCUUACUAUUGGGUUGAAAAAUUAGACGGGUAAGAUUAAGCACAAAAGAGGACGAGAUGUGAAACGAUUAACAAGAAGACUUAAAGAGUUGAAUAGUUAUGAGAGAUCAGAAGAGACUUUGGCUGAGCUUGUUGAUGUCAAACUACAUCUAAAUAUGGAGAUGGAUAAAGAGGAGAGAUAUUGGGAACAAUGGGCGAGAGUGAAUUGGUUGAAAAUGAGAAAUAAGAACACUUUGUUUUUCCAUAAGUAUGCUUCUCAACGACGACGUAUUAAUCAUAUUUGAGGAUUACAAAGGAAUGAUGGUUCUAUAGCUACGGGUUGUAUUGAGACUAGGAAUAUUGCUCGUGACUAUUUUACAGACUUAUUUUCUUCUAGAGGGAUUGGCAAUUUGGAUCAUAUUUUUUCGGGGAUGCCUUGUUGUAUUUCAGAAAGUAUGAAUCAAAACUUGAUGGCUACAUACACAGAGGACGAAAUUGUUGAGGCGUUAAAAGAAACGAGUCCUACAAAAGCUUCAGGUUUAGAUGGUUUUUCGGUAUUAUUUUAUCAAAAGUAUUGGCAUAUUCAAAAGUAUUGGUAAAGAUACUAGCGCUUUAUGUUUGGAUAUUCUAAAUAAUGGAAAAUCUCUAGAAGAACUAAACAAAACUCACUUGGUUUUAAUUCCAAAAAUUGCAAAUCCUCUCAAUCUAAAAAACUUUCAUCCUAUUAGUCUUUGUAUGGUUAUAUAUAAGAUUAUUACCAAGACAGUUGCCAAUAGAAUACAAAAGGUUUUGGAUGUUUGUAUUGAUGAUUCUCAGAGCACUUUUGCGUUGGGCAGACUCAUAAUUGAUAUAAUUGAUAAUGUGCUGCUGGCAUAUGAGGUGCUUCAUUCUUUCAAGAAUAAAAGAUCAGGGCAAAAAGGUUUUAUGGCUCUAAAGUUAAAUAUGAGCAAGGCUUAUGAUCGCGUGGAAUGACCUUUCCUUAAAGGUAUGAUGUCAAAAAUGGGUUUCGCUUGUCCUUUUAUUGAUUUUUUCUCUACUGUAUUAGUAGAGUUCAGUAUUCGAUCUUACUAAAUAGAGAAGAAGGAAUAAGUUUUAAGCCAUCGAGAGGACUGCGACAAGAGGACCUUUUAAGCCCUUACUUAUUUCUGUUCUGUGGAGAAGGAUUAUCUUCGCUAAUGAAAUUAGCAAGUCAGGAAAAGAAAAUCUUAGGAGCAAAGGUUUGUAGAUCUUCCCCACCAAUCACCCACCUCAUGUUUGCAGAUGAUUGUAUACUGUUUGGUGAGGUUUCAGAAAGGGGGAUUAAUGUGCUUAAAAAUAUUCUAAGUGAAUAUGAAUCUUGCUCAAGACAAUAUGUGAAUUUUGAAAAAUCCACGACUUUUUUCAGUACAAAUGUGAAUGAUCAGGAUAAGAACUUGGCUUUCCAGGUACUCAAUGUUCGUUGUUCGACAGAUUUGAAGAAAUUCUUAAGAUUACCGAAUAUGGUGGGUCGAAGAAAGAAAAUGGCAUUCCAAGGUUUGAAAGAUAGACUGAAGCAGAAGAUAAACAACUGGAGUAUAAGACAUAUCUCACAAGGUGGAAAAGAGGUAUUUAUAAAAACUGUUUUGCAAGCAAUUCCUACAUACACGAUGUCUUGCUUUAUUUUGCCAAAAUAUUUUUCUAUGGAAAUAGAGAACAUGAUAGGGUCUUUUUGGUGGAAAAAAAGUCAUGGGAAGAGAGGCAUGAAUUGGUGUGAUUGGAGGUCUUUAUGUGCGCUUAAAGAAGAUCGUGGUAUAGGAUUUCAUAAUUUGUCUUUUUUUAAUGUUGCAUUAUUGGCCAAAUAGGGUUAGCUUUUGUUACAUAAUCCUAAUUCUUUACUAGCGCGAACUUUGAAAGCCAAAUAUUUUAAAGACUCCGAUUUUUUAAAUUUCAGAUUAAGAAAUUUACCUUCUUUUACCUGGCAGAGCUUAUGGACUGCAAAAAGGGCUCUUUCUAAAGGGUUUGGGCUGGAGGAUUGGUGAUGAGAGGAAAGUCUCUAUCUGGAAAGAUGCUUGGGUUCCUGGAAAUGAUGAUUUCAAAGUUCAGAACAUGGAUGCUAAUUCGAGUCUCAGUACAGUUGCAGACUUGAUUGAUGCCAAUACAAGAAAAUGAAAAGCUGAGCUGAUUCGUAAUACCUUUACGGAGAAGGAUGCAGAGAGGAUUUUAUGCAUUCUUUUGUUCAUGAAUUUGCAUGAAGACCAUAUCAUCUGGUGUGGUGAGCCGACGGGGGAGUAUUCGGUCCGUAGAGGGCAUAAAUUUAUUUUACAAGAUGGAUAGAACCAAGAACAAUUAAAUUAUGAAAAAUUUUACAAGAAAUUGUGGAAUUUAGAUCUACCCUCAAACUAGAUGUUUUCCAGUAACUAUUUGCUUACUUUUAGUAAUCUACCCUUUAGAAGAAUGAUGGGUUCCACCACUUGUUGAAGAUGUCAGACUGGAGCAGAAACGAGGGAACACUUGUUUAGGGAGUGUUCUACAAUAAAGGAGACAUGGGAGAAGUUAAAUGUUACCUGGCAUAUAGCAGAUGCAAACACUGAAUUCAAAGAAUGGAUUAAAAACAUUUUUGAUUCAAAUUCUGUAGCUAAAUGCAAGUUGAUAGCAUGUGCAAUGUGAGCGAUAUGGACAUGAAGAAACAGAUUCAUUCAUGAAGGAGAGCUGAAAUCGGGUUCUCAAAUAGCAGAUUUCGUGAUCAACUACCUUAAGGAACUUGAUGGGUUGAACACACACCUACCAGUGAGAAGGAUACAUACGGAGAGAUGGGUAGCUCCGAAUGGGUUGAUGGUAAAAAUCAACUUCGAUGCUGCAUUUAACAGGCAAAAGAAUGAGUCUUGCUCCGGGUUAGUGGUUCAAAACGAAAGAGUAGAAGUUAUUUGUUCAAGAACAGUCAUGCACGAGAACAUAACGUCUGUUUUUGCAGCAGAAGCGAUGGCGUGUCUUCAGGCACUCAAUCUAGGGUUAAAUCUCGGGCUGAGGGAGGCUGAGAUGGAAGGAGAUUCUCGUUCGGUGAUCCGUAAACUGCAAGCUGAGGAAGAAGAAAGAUCUGAUAUUGAAGCUUAUAUUAAAGAUUCUAAGCAACUAAGUUUAGGUUUUGGGUCUUGUGUCUUUCGAUUUACCCAUAGAGAAUCUAACAUGGUUGCCCAUAUCAUAGCUACAGAAUGAAUCAAAAAGAGGGAGACAACUUAUCUGAUGCAUACGGAGCGGUGGAUGCUGAUCGAAGAUGGACGGAAGCCAUGAAGGAGUGAAGAGACAGGAGUGUUGAAGGAGAGAAUAAAGAUGGACUUGACUGGACAGACAGAUACAAGUAUUGAGAGAUGCAUUGAAGAGGGUUAUUGUUUCUGA